AUCAUGACCCGAGCCAAAGGCAGACGCUUAACGACUGAGCCACCCAGGUGCCCCAUACACUUAUGAUCUUGAGAAGAUAACGGACUUCAGGCUAUGACAACCAGGAAACAUUUUUCCUGGCACCGAGGGACAAAACCACUAAACAUAAAAAACCUGACUCGUGAUCAGCAGUGCUUUUGAAGAAAGAUCUUGAUUGAAAAGGGGAAAUGUGAAAAUAAAAGGAAACCUCAUUUAGAAUGGAGCCAAAAAAAAAAAAGAAGAAUGGAGCCCCGAGGCCGGCAGGGGGAGCUCUCAAUUCCUAUCACUCAUGGACAGUUGCAGACCAAUAGGAAAAGAUAGACCUUGGGAGACUACUUUAGUACCCCAGGAGGAGUUAGGUAGUUUUCCUCCUCCUCCACACUCCCCUGCAGCAGCCCAGCCAAUGAGAAGCCACUACAGUUCCAGCUCCCGGUUCUCUCCAAUGGACUUUUAGUUUAGAACAGCCCCUCCCAAAGCCUCCUUUCUUCGUUAAAAGAGCUUUCCCUUCUUCGCUCCUGAACUUGUUGAUGGUUUUGCCAAAACCUGCUUGUCUGGGAUUGCAAUUCUCUAUUUCUCAAUGAACCUGUUUUUGCUUUUAAAA